UACGUAGGUGACAAGCGUUGUCCGGAUUUACUGGGCGUAAAGAGCGCGCAGGCGGUCGAUCAAGUCGAGUGUGAAAGCCCCCGGCUCAACUGGGGAGGGUCAUUCGAUACUGAUCGACUCGAAGGCAGGAGAAGGUAGUGGAAUUCCCGGUGUAGUGGUGAAAUGCGUAGAUAUCGGGAGGAACACCAGUGGCGAAGGCGACUACCUGGCCUGUUCUUGACGCUGAGGCGCGAAAGCUAGGGGAGCAAACGGG
rnacentral:rRNA from 1 species